UCUGCCUACACUGUCAAAAAUUAAAUUGUGUUUUGAUUAUAUCAACUAAAGUUGAAUUGGAAAUCUUCAAUGUUAAAGGAGAUUUUAGCCUCUGGCGCUAGAAAAUGCGAGCUCUUUUACUUCAACAAAAAUGUACAAAAGACAUUGAUGAGUCAUGGUCUGAUGAUAUGGAAGAAACUAAGAAAAUUGAACUUGUUGAAACUGCAUGGAGUUCUAUAUUCUUGCAUUUGUUUGACAAUGUGUUAAGAGAGAUUUGUGAGACAAAAACUGCUGCUGAGUUAUGGAAAAAAUUGGAAGAUACUUAUUUGAAUAAAACCAUGCCCAAUAAAGUGUAUUUUCUAAAACAAUUUUUUGGCUUCAAAUUGGACCCAUCUCUUGAUCUUGAGGCAAACAUUGAUAGAUUCAACAGAUUAUCUCAUGACCUGGCUGACUGUGAUGGGAAACUCUCAAAAGAUCAGUUGGCUGUGGUUUUGUUAAAUUCAGUAAGUGAUAAAUGUAGAGAUGUUAAAAAUGUUAUUGAAUAUGGUAGGGAGACUCUAACUACUGAUGUGAUAAUAAAUUCAUUGAGAAACUAAGAGUUAGAGUUAAAAUCUGAAAAGAGAGAAUUUGUUAGUGGUAAAAAUUUG
rnacentral:lncRNA from 1 species